AAAAAAAAAAAAAAAAAAAAAGCACAACAAAAAACAUAAUAAUAAAAUGGAAAGUUUUAAAAUAAAAAAAACUAAACCUGUUAAAAAAAAAAAGCAAAAACUGCAUGUAAAAGAUCCAUUAUUAAAAUACCCAAUUGUAAGAAAAUACGUUUUACGAACGAUUAAUGGAGAAAAACGUAAUGCGGAAACUCGAGAGAAAAAAAGAUUAGAAAAACAAAAUUAUUAUAAAAGUAAGCAGCUUGAAUUAAAGCCUCUACAAAAAGAAAAUGCAAAAAACAAAACAACCAAAGAUGAUAUAAAAAAUAAAACAACAACAAGCGUAAAAAAUCUAACGGACUUAACAAAUAAAAACAACAAAAUUGGAAAAGGAACAACCACAAGUGGAACAUUCACCAAAAAACAUUUACAAAAAAAAGUAAUUCCAAGCAGAAAUACACAAGACGUUAGCUCAAAUAAAAAUGCAAGAGAAAAGAUAAAAGAAAAUGGUGAUGUAACAGAAAAAAAUAAAAAUCAAGAAUGUUUUAUUGUACAUAAUGACCUAGUAUUUUUCAAAAAAACAGAUAAAAAUAAAAUUCGAAUUGGGUUAGGAAGAAUAGUAGACGUUAGCACUGAACUUUCUCUCAAUAAUAUACCUCUAAGCUUUAACCACGAAAUUACAUUAAUAUCUUAUUUUAACAUUUUAAAUAAUAUUAAUAGUACAGAAUAUUUGAAAAGUUAUUUAAAACUUUUGAUGAAAAAUCGAACCAAUUCGAGUAAACACACUACAAAAACAAACCCGCGUGCGAAUCGUGUUGGUUUAUAUGGGGAUAAUAAUAAUAUACACAGCAACCGUAAUCAUAAUAAAAAAAACACGGACUUUGCAUUUUCAAAUUAUGCUUACCAAAAUAGAAAUAAAGAUAUAGACGAUAUAUAUGUUGAAUAUGUUGAAUAUGAUAAUAUCAAUAUAAAUUUAAAGGACAAAAAAAAUGGUGCAUUGGAAAAUGAUACUAGUAAAAAUAAUAAUAGUAAUAAUAACAAUAACAAUAAUAAUAACAAUAAUUAUAAUAAUAAUAAUAACAAUAAUAAUAAUAAUGAUAAUAAUGCUAUAUCAAAAAAAAAAGAAAAGGUUAAAGUCAUUAACAGUUAUGAAAAUAAUGUAAGUAAACUGUAUGAAGACAGAACAGAUGCUUAUAGCAAAAUUAGAAAGCAUAGUAAAUCAUACUACGUUGUUCAAACAUUUGAUACGUAUAAAUAUUGUUUACAAUAUAAAAAACAAUUUAGACAUUAUAAAGUAUUUGAACAUCCCAAAUGGAAAUAUUUUAAACAAAAAUUUUGUAGAAACAUAAAAUAUGAAAUUUAUUUUGCAUUAGCUUCAAAACUAAUGGAUAUAAAAAAAUUAUACGUUAAUAAUAUAAACCUACAAAAUACUCUUAUUAAUAAAUUAAUUAGAAUUUAUGAAAAUGCGAAUGAUAUAACUAUGAACGAAAAUUUCUUAAAUUUUAUAAAAAAAAUGGAUGUAAGAGUUAUACUACAAGAAAAUGUUCUUGCAGUUCCUGACGUGGUGAGUCGUGACACUUUUAACAAAAAAAAAAAAAAAAAAACUACCGCUCUGACGACUGUCACUACCGUUAUUACUAAUGGAAAUUUUAAAACAACGAAAAAUCAAUGCACUGCAACAUGUUGUGAACCCAUUAACAUAAAUAAACGACAACCAACACGAGUUAUGCCAAAAAGAAAUUCAUUUUCAAAACAGUUUCUCAAUGGAUACACGAACAGUCACAUUACUAAUCAAACAUACGAACAAACACAAUACGAUAUUUCUCUAAGGAAUAGGCAAAAUAAACUAUAUGAAAAUCAAACAAUAAAUAAAAAAAGGAAAUUAAUAGAAAUAGAGCAGCUACAACAAAAUGAAGAGGAACAAAAUGGAGAGGAACAAAAUGAAGAGGAACAAAUAGAACAACAACAAAUAGAACAACAACAAAUAGAACAACAACAAAUAGAACAACAAAAUGAACAACAAAAUGAACAACAAAAUGAACAACAAAAUGAACAACAAAUAGAACAACAAAAUGAACAACAAAUAGAACAACAAAUAGAACAACAAAUAGAACAACAAAAUGAAGAAGUAAAAAAAAACCAAUGCGAAAAAGAAGUAGCCAUGCUAGCAAAAUUUAAAUCCUAUGAAGGAAUAGUAUAUAGAAAACAAAUAGAAAGUUUAUAUAAAAGUAGAACAAAUGUUUUAUAUUAUUUUUUUAUUAUCCCUGCUUUUUUCUGGUAUAAUGAUUCAUAUUAUUUUGCUUGUCUAAAUAUAGACGUUGAUAUAAAUGAGAUUUUAAACAUACUUAACGUAAUUCAUAAAUCAAACAAAAAUAUAUUUAAAAAUUUAUCUUUGGAAAAUAUAACAAAAACAAAAGAACAUACUCAUGCACAACUGAACACCAUAUGCGAAAACAAUAAAAACAUAAAUGAUAAAGAAAAAUCGAUUUUUAUCAAUAAUUCGAAUAAAAAUGAACAAGUAAUUAUAAAAGAUCAAUCACAAAAAAAUAUACAACAUGUUACAAACACUAAUGAAUAUAUAGAAAUGGGUGUAGUUCAUAAUGAUAUAAAUAAAAGGAAAGACCAACAAAAUCAAAAGCAAAACCAAGAUAAUACAAAAAGACAGAAAUUAAACGAAACAAUACAUAUCAAUAUACUAGACAAACAAAAAGAACAUAUUCAAAAACAAUCAACAGAACUUCCAAUUUUACUUUUAAAUAAUUUAAAUGGAACAGAAUUAAUAAAAGAACAAGAAGGGAAUAGUAGUUUUCAUAAUGCAGAGGAUGUAAGGGAUAUAUUAAAUUAUCAAACAGUAGUAUAUGACAAAACCUGUAAUAAUACGUGCCUUCCCAAUCAUGACAAAAUGAAUGACGAUAUGAGCGAUAACAAUUGGAAUGAUGAUAAAACUUUUUUUAAAAUGUCAACUACACCAAAUGAUAUUAAAACAAAAAAAAAAGAAAAAAAAAAAGCACUUAAUAAUUUUACCUUAAAUAAAACAAAUAUAUUUAAUACAGAAAUUACAAAUUAUUCUAAAACUGUUGAAAGUAGUAAAAAUGAUAAAGAGAAAAUAGAUGAAAAGCAACAUAUAGAAGAAGAAAAUAAAAAAGUUGCUACACUUAACGAACAAACUUUAAAUAAAGUAAAAAAUAUAUUUAUACAUGACAUUAAAUAUAAUUCAAAUGAUAAAAAUGAAUUUACAAUGGAUAGUAAAAAUGUAAAUGCAGAUGGAAAUAUGAAAAAACUUAUAGAUACAAAUUCCACCAGCGAAACGAGUACCGACAUACGUCUUGACGCAUGUACUAAUGCUUUUAUUAAUGUUUCUACUAGUGCUUCUACUAAUGCUUCUACUAAUGCUUCUACUAAUGCUUCUGUUAAUGCUUCUGUUAAUGCUUCUAUUAAUGCUUCUACUAAUGUUUCUACUGAGGGGGGUAAUAAUUUAAUUACCCAAACAAUUUGUAAUAAGCAUAUUUUAAGUAACACCCAGAUUAUACAAAAUGGUAAAAAAUGUAUGUUGGACAAUACAGAGGGGAAGGGUUUAAAAAAUGACAGCAAAUAUAAUAGGGAUAGCAAUAAUAACUGUAGUAAUAGUAGUAAUUGUAGUUAUAAUAGUAAUAGUAAUAAUAAUAGUGAUAAUAACAAAAUGGAAAGUUAUGAAAAAACUAACACUAUAUUAGAACAUGUACAAAAUGAUAAUUCGAAAUGUUUGUUAAGUGAUAAUAUAUAUUAUAGUAAUAACAUUGGUAAUGAAUUAAAUGAAGAGGACACUUUAAAAAUGUGUGAUGAUACACAAAUGCUUAGUAAUGCUACUACCACUGGAAGUAUUAAUAGUGGUGGUAAUAGCAGCCAUAAUGACAACGAAUCAACUGAGGUGCAUAAUAACAUAAAAAAAACGAAAAAAAUAAUAGAUAGCGAAACAAAAAAUAAAAUAGAACAACUAUAUAAUUACUGCAAAAAGAAUAUAAACAUAUUAUUAUAUACCUAUGUGAUACAUAUAUAUUUUCAAAAAUUAUGUAAAAACUUAAUUAUAAAAGUAGUACAUCCUAGGUAUAAAUUUAUAAAAAAAAAAAAUUAUGAACAUAGUGAUUUUAUAUUAUCACCAUUAAUAGGAUAUUCUUACGCGAAUUAUUAUUUUUUAAAACUCAGUAAAAUAGAAAAAACGGAAAUGGAUUUACCAAAAACUAAUGCAAAAAAAACUAGGAAAGAAAACGAAAGCGAAAACAGAAGUGUAAACCAAAAUCUAAAUCAAAAUAUAAAUCAGAGUAUAAAUCUAAAUCAAAAUCUAUAUCGAAAUCUAAAUAUAAAUAAAAAUAUAAAUCAAAACUUAAAUCAAAACCUAAAUCAAAACCUAAAUCAAAACCUAAAUCAAAACCUAAAUCAAAACCUAAAUCAAAACCU
ensembl:lncRNA